rnacentral:rRNA from 1 species
UACAGAGGUCUCAAGCGUUGUUCGGAUUCAUUGGGCGUAAAGGGUGCGUAGGCGGCGCUGCAAGUCGGUGGUGAAAGCUCGCCGCUUAACGGCGAGUCGGCCAUCGAAACUGCAGGGCUCGAGCACUGUAGGGCUAAUGGGAAUUCCGGGUGUAGCGGUGGAAUGCGUAGAGAUCCGGAAGAACACCAGUGGCGAAGGCGGUUAGCUGGGCAGUUGCUGACACUGAUGCGCGACAGCGUGGGGAGCAAACGAGG